rnacentral:rRNA from 1 species
UACGAAGGGGGCUAGCGUUGCUCGGAAUCACUGGGCGUAAAGGGCGCGUAGGCGGCCAUUCAAGUCAGAGGUGAAAGCCCAAGGCUCAACCUUGGAACUGCCUUUGAUACUGUUUGGCUUGAGACCGGUAGAGGUAAGUGGAACUGCGAGUGUAGAGGUGAAAUUCGUAGAUAUUCGCAAGAACACCAGUGGCGAAGGCGGCUUACUGGACCGGUU